rnacentral:rRNA from 1 species
CCUACGGGGGGCAGCAGUGGGGAAUCUUGCGCAAUGCUCGUAAGAGUGACGCAGCGACGCCGCGUGAAUGACGAAGGCCUUCGGGUCGUAAAGUUCUUUCGACAGGGAAGAAAAUGCCUAUAAGUAACUGUGUAUGUAUUGACGGUACCUGUAUAAGCAGCCCCGGCUAACUCCGUGCCAGCAGCCGCGGUAAUACGGGGGGGGCGAGCGUUGUUCGGAGUGACUGGGCGAAAAGAGCACGUAGGCGGUGUUGUAAGUCAUUAGUCAAAGACUAGAGCUCAACUUUAGUAAGGCUAGGGAUACUAAAAUACGAGGGUAUCAGAGAGGAUUGAAGAAUUCCGGGUGUAGCGGUGAAAUGGG